UAAAAAAAAAUGUACACCUGGUGAGUCGAAAACCCGAAAGGGUGGCUCAGGCAAAAAAGGGUAUCCCGGUGGAUUGAAAACCCAAAAGGGCGAUCCGCGCAAAAGUUAAGGAAUAAGCGAAUGACUGCAGUCUGAGUUCACCUGUGUUCCAUCACCGUUUCAUUCAAUCCGGCAAUCUUCGAAGGUUAAAGAUCGACUAAUC
rnacentral:lncRNA from 1 species